rnacentral:rRNA from 1 species
UACGGAGGGUGCAAGCGUUAUCCGGAUUCACUGGGUUUAAAGGGUGCGUAGGCGGACAGGUAAGUCAGUGGUGAAAUCUCUGGGCUUAACUCAGAAACUGCCGUUGAUACUAUCAUUCUUGAAUAUUGUGGAGGUAAGCGGAAUAUGUCAUGUAGCGGUGAAAUGCUCAGAUAUGACAUAGAACACCGAUAGCGAAGGCAGCUUGCUACACAAUUAUUGACACUGAGGCUCGAAAGCGUGGGGAUCAAACAGG